UACAGAGGUCUCAAGCGUUGUUCGGAUUCAUUGGGCGUAAAGGGUGCGUAGGCGGCCACUCAAGUCGAAUGUGAAACCUCGAGGCUUAACCUCGAGCCUGCAUUCGAUACUGGGCGGCUAGAGUCUGGUAGGGGGGAUCUGGAAUUCCUGGUGUAGCGGUGGAAUGCGCAGAUAUCAGGAGGAACACCGGUGGCGAAGGCGGAUCUCUGGGCCAUUACUGACGCUGAGGAGCGAAAGCGUGGGGAGCGAACAGG
rnacentral:rRNA from 1 species